rnacentral:misc_RNA from 1 species
GAAAUGCGAUAAGUAAUGUGAAUUGCAGAAUUCAGUGAAUCAUCGAAUCUUUGAACGCACCUUGCGCUCCUUGGUAUUCCUUGGAGCAUGCCUGUUUGAGUAUCAUGAAAUCUUCAAAGUCAAUCUUUUGUUAACUCAAUUGGUUUCUACUUUGGUAUUGGAGGUCUUUGCAGCUUCACACCUGCUCCUCUUUGUUCAUUAGCUGGAUCUCAGUGUUAUGCUUGGUUCCACUCGGCGUGAUAAGUUUCUAUCGCUGAGGACACUGUAAAAGGUGGCCGAGGUAAAUGCAGAUGAGCCGCUUCUAAUAGUCCAUUGACUUGGACAAUACUUUUAUGAUCUGACCUCAAAUCAGGUAGGACUACCCGCUGAACUUAAGC